GCGACACUAGCUCAUCCGGAUAGAGCAACGGCCUUCUAAGCCGUAGGUGGGCUGUUCGAGUCAGCCGUGUCGCA
rnacentral:tRNA from 1 species